CUGCAACUCGUCCUUUGCCUUUGUAGUUCAGAGAGCUCCUACUGAAGCUGUGCCGACUGUGCAAAGGGGGAUUUCCAGCUGUGAUCAAGAGGCUGGUGAUGAUGAGCUGCAAACUGCAGACAGUUCCAGCCUGGCCAGUGCCAGCACACCUGAGCACAAUCUGGGAAGUCCCAUAGCUGACAAUGAUGAGUUCAGUCAGGGUGGAGUGGACGUUAGGAUGACCUCUGGCCCACAAUGUACAGACACAGUCAAUGAAGUGCCCACGCAGGACAUUCUGCAACAGUUUGCUUCGAUUGCCUGUGUGCACGCUGGCACUCUCAG